ACUGGCUCGAACUGGGAGACAACCCCUCCUGCAGACUGAAGCCUAAGGCAGUCUUGGGUGCAAACCUCAACCUCAACACAUAGUUUGAUUUCUGGAAGCACCCGAGGGGUUGCAGGCAGCACUAGAGCCAUAGGCAGGCUGUCGCCCUAGAAAAGGCCCAUGUUUUGAGGUAUUGUCAUUUAUUCAUCUAUAUGGCCUCUAUUGUAAGGCAGGUACUGGCCUGGGUGCUGGGGAUACGAGAAUCAAACUCAGUCCUUGACCUUGAGGGGCUGGACCUUGAGUGGGGGAAACAGACAUAGAGAUGUUUGCAGGAGGUUCAGCAAAGGCCAGAGCAGAAAGACGUGCCAGAAAAGGCUUCUGAAGGGAAGGAAGGAACCCUCAGGGAGCAUCCUGAGGAAUGAGUGGUUGGCCAAGCAGCCUUGGGUUGGGGCAAGGUAGUUCACAGAGAUAUAUGUGUGAAAAUACAAAGGAUCUAAAAUGUACAAUAAAUUCAUCGUGUGGUCUUAGAGGCUAACUUCCCUACCAGGCAACAUUUUCAUUAAGAAAAUCAUUAUUCUGGGCAUUCAUUCUAAAUGAGAUUCAAUAAGUGUACUCCCAUACAAAGAAAUAGAUAGUAGGCCUCUGUCAAGGGUCCAAGGAUUAAGCCAAAAUUGGGUGACCACAGGAUGCUCAAAUUACCUGCCAUUAAAUCCAGCAAGACCAGCAGAUACAACAGCUGACGCACACAUGUCUGACCCUGCUCACCUUUCCGUGUGUUCACGUGCACUGGGUCGCCUUCAGAAACAGUACCCAGGCAGCCUGAACACUGGCUCUUGGUGGGAGUGGGCCUGCCUCUGAGGUGGGGCAGGGGUUUGUAAAAGCAUAUUUAAUGUUACAAAUUAACCAUUUUAAUCAACUAAAAAGGCCCAGUGGUUUUUAUAAUCUAGUCUCUCAAAUUUGACACAAUUUUGGUUGGUGUGGAACUAUUAGAGAAACAGUGAUUCUCAAAAGUCACCUUUGUUCUUCGCUCACCACACUGCCCUCUCAAAGAAUCCGUGUGAAUCAGAAAGGGGUAUGUGAUUAAAAGAAAAAAAAAAUUGAAAACUUGAGUUAAAAUUUAUGAGUUUGAAAACCGGCCAUCUCCUCCUGGAAAGCUCAGCUUUUGAACGACUUAAGCACCAGGCCUCUGUAUUAAGAGAGACUAUCCAAAAAUGUGCAGUACUUCCACAAAUGCGGCCUAGGAUACAUUCAUCUGGAGAGAAAAGGCCAGGGCUGAGACAGUGCAGAUGAGGCCCAUCCACACCGAGCCAGACGGGCAGAUCUCCCAGCUCCCUCUUUGGGGUCCCAAAAAAGCUACACUGCAUAAUCCUGGUCAAUAGGCCAUGGAAGAAAUGGUUAAAAAUCUUAAAAACAAAACAAAACCCUACAGUGAAAAGACAUCUUUCACUUAGGCAACUGGGGGCCAUCGGAAAUAAGAAAAUGCAUUCCGGCUUCUAGCGGGGCACACCCGAAGAAGUGCAGUCCCUCUCAUGCAAGCUCCAGAAAAAUGCCCUUUCCUACUAAGGCCAGCAAAAGUGUGUCCUACUUCAAAAAGUGCCUGUGGGGUCUGAUGCAGGGCAAAAUUAAAAAAAAAAAAAACAGAUGAUGCAUUCCUCAGUUUCUACAACUGUGUGCUAAUCUUCACACUGAUGUGUGGUGCCCCCACCUCAGCCCGGGCUACCUCAUCUAGUCUAUUAGUGUUAAAAUAUAUAGGAUGCCUUUGAAGAUCUCCCCACCUCCCACUAUGACAAGGCUGUAUUUCUAAGAUUUUACCUUGAAUGCAACUGAACAUUAAGAAAAGAAUACUAAUAAUACGCAGUCUCAUGAAUCUACGGAAUAUUAAAUCUGGGUGGAGGAGGCAGUUCAAGGAUUACUUGAUCUAAAGAUUUUUCAGAUAUGGAACUGAGACUUGCAGUUUAAGUGAUUUGCACAAGGACACACCUAGAGAGUAGUCAUUGCUGUGCUUUCGUUUUAGUUUGCUUUCGUUCAAUAAAUCUACUGUGUUCAAUCAAUCAGUCUUUUGUGAUAAAAUUGAGGCUUGCCUCCCUUGAUUCACGUUUUAUUGUAACUGCUUGCUUAUCUAUUUCCUUGCGCCCUAGCCUGUCACCAACAAGUUCAAUAAAGCUUGUUCAAAUGCUUCUACUUUCACAAGAAUUGCAGACCUCCCAGCUGAAGGAGUCAUUGAAAUGGGGCUGAGGCAAAGCAGAGUCCUGGGAUCCUGACUACUUAGGAUGCUGGGACGAGGCGUGAAGGGAUUUGAAUCUCAAAGCAAGCUAGGAAAUGCUCAAGAAGUCAGGGCGUAAGCCCAAUUUUCUAAGAAGAAAAGACACCCCCUUCUCUCU